ACAGGGGUAUGGUAGUAGGUGCCUUUGAACAGGGGUCUGGUAGUAGGUGUCUUUGAACAGGGUCUGGUAGUAGGUGCCUUUGAACAGGGUCUGGUAGUAGGUGUCUUUGAACAGGGUAUAGUCGUAGGUGCCUUUGAACAGGGUAUGGUAGUAGGUGCCUUUGAACAGGGGUCUGGUAGUAGGUGCCUUUGAACAGGGUAUGGUAGUAGGUGCCUUUGAACAGGGUAUGGUAGUAGGUGUCUUUGAACAGGGUAUAGUCGUAGGUGCCUUUGAACAGGGUAUGGUAGUAGGUGCCUUUGAACGGGGUAUAGUCGUAGGUGCCAGGCGCAGCAGUUUGUGUCAACAACUGCAACGCGGUUUGGUUUUUCACGCUCAACAGUAUCCCGCGUCCACCUUAUUUACAGAAGUAUUCAGACCAUUUUCUGUGGGAAUCGAAAUUGAGCUCAGAUGCAUCCUGUUUCCGUUGAUCAUCCUUGAGAUGUUUCUACAACUGGAUUGGAGUCCACCUGUGGUAAAUUCAAUUGAUUGGACAUGAUUUGGAAAGGUCCCACAGUUGACAGGGCAUGUCAGAGCAAAAACCAAGCUAUGAGGUCGAAGGAAAUGUCCUCGGAGUCCUGAAACAGGAUUGUGUCAAGGCACAGAUCUGGGGAAGGGCACCCAAAACAUGUCCGCAGCAUUGAAGGUCCCCAAGAACACAGUGGCCUCCAUCAUUCUUAAAUGGAAGAAGUUUGGAACCACCAACACUCUUCCUAGAGCUGGCCGCCCGGCCAAACUGAGCAACCGGGGAAUAAGAGCCUUGGUCAGAGAGGUGACCAAGAACCCGAUGGUUACUCUGACAGAUCUCCUCUGUGGAGAUGGGAGAACCUUCCAGAAGCACAACCAUCUCUGAAGCACUCCACCAAUCAGGCCUUUAUUGUAAAAGUGGCCAGAGGGAAGCCACUCCUCAGUAAAAGGCACAUGACAGCCUGCUUGGAGUUUGCCAAAUGGCACCUAAAGGAUUCUCAGACCAUGAGAAACAAAAUUCUCUGGUCUCAUGAAACCAAGAUUGAACUCUUUGGCCUGAAUGCCAAGCGUCACGUCUGGAGGAAACCUGGCACCAUCCCUACGGUGAAGCAUGGUGGUGGCAGCAUCAUGCUGCAGGGAUGUUUUUCAGCAUUUGGACCGGGAGACUAGUCAGGAUUGAGAUGAACGGAGCAAAGUACAGAGAGAUCCUUGAUGAAAACCUGCUCCAGAGUGCUCAGAACCUCAGACUGGGUCGAAGGUUCACCUUCCAACAGCACAACGACCCCAAGCACACAGCCAAGACAAUGCAUGAGUGGCUUCGGGACAAGUCUCUGAAUGUCCUUGAGUGGCCCAUCUUGAACCUGAUCGAACAUUUCUGGUAGAGAUCUGAAAAUCGCUAUGCAGCAAUGCUCCCCAUCCAACCUGACAGAGCUUGAGAGGAACUGCAGAGAAGAAUGGGAGAAACUCUCCAAAUACAGGUGUGCCAAGCUUGUAGCGUCAUACCCAAGAAGACUUGAGGCUGUGAUCACUACCAAAGGUGCAUCAACAAAGUACUGAGUAAAGGGUCUGAAUACUGAUGUAAAUGUAAUAUUUCAGUUUUUUGUUUUUAAUAAAUGUUAUCCAUUUCAAUUACAUUUCUAAAAACCUGUUUUUGCUUUGUCAUUAUGGUGUAUUGUGUGUAGACUGAUGAGAGAAAAUUAACAAUUGAAUCCAUUUUAGAACAGGGUUGUAACAUAACAAAAUGUGUAAAAAAAAAUCAAGGGGUCUGAAUACUUUCCGAAUGCACUGUAAUCCUGCACAGUACAGUACAGCACCAGCGCCUGAGUAGGUCAAACAUCAUCACAAGGUGACGUCACAGAAAAGUAAAUAUAAGUGAAUGCACUGUAUAUAAGGCCACUCUGCAGAAUGGGGGGAAGAACGAAAAAAAAAUGAUUUCUAAAAAAACAAAUAAAGGUAGACUAAAUGCUAAUAAGUCAUAUUUCCUCUUUCUGUUCCCCUAAUAAGUCAUAUUUCCUCUUUCCGUUCCCCUAAUAAGUCAUAUUUCCUCUUUCUGUUCCCCUAAUAAGUCAUAUUUCCUCUUUCCGUUCCCCUAAUAAGUCAUAUUUCCUCUUUCCGUUCCCCUAAUAAGUCAUAUUUCCUCUCUCCGUUCCCCUAAUAAGUCAUAUUUCCUCUUGCCGUUCCCAUAAUAAGUCAUAUUUCCUCUUGCCGUUCCCCUAAUAAGUCAUAUUUCCUCUUUCUGUUCCCCUAAUAAGUCAUAUUUCCUCUUUCCGUUCCCCUAAUAAGUCAUAUUUCCUCUUUCUGUUCCCCUAAUAAGUCAUAUUUCCUCUUUCCGUUCCCCUAGUAAGUCAUAUUUCCUCUUUCCGUUCCCCUAAUAGGUCAUAUUGCCUCUUUCCGUUCCCCUAAUAAGUCAUAUUUCCUCUUUCCGUUCCCCUAAUAAGUCAUAUUUCCUCUUGCCGUUCCCCUAAUAAGUCAUAUUUCCUCUUUCCGUUCCCCUCAUAAGUCAUAAAUUCCUCUUGUCGUUCCCCUAAUAAGUCAUAAAUUCCUCUUGUCGUUCCCAUAAUAAGUCAUAUUUCCUUUUGUCGUUCCCAUAAUAAGUCAUAUUUCCUCUUGUCGUUCCCCUAAUAAGUCAUAUUUCCUCUUGUCGUUCCCCCAAUAAGUCAUAUUUCCUCUUGUCGUUCCCCCAAUAAGUCAUAUUUCCUCUUUCCGUUCCCUUAAUAAGUCAUAUUUCCUCUUUCCGUUCCCCUAAUAAGUCAUAUUUCCUCUUUCCGUUCCCCUAAUAAGUCAUAUUUCCUCUUUCCGUUCCCCUAAUAAGUCAUAUUUCCUCUUUCCGUUCCCCUAAUAAGUCAUAUUUCCUCUUUCCGUUCCCCUAAUAAGUCAUAUUUCCUCUCUCCGUUCCCCUAAAAAGUCAUAUUUCCUCUUGCCGUUCCCCUAAUAAGUCAUAUUUCCUCUCUCCGUUCCCCUAAUAAGUCAUAUUUCCUCUUUCCAUUCCCCUAAUAGGUCAUAUUUCCUCAUUCCGUUCCCCUAAUAGGUCAUAUUUCCUCUUUCCGUUCCCCUAAUAGGUCAUAUUUCCUCUUUCCGUUCCCCUAAUAAGUCAUAAAUUCCUCUUGUCGUUCCCCUAAUAAGUCAUAUUUCCUCUUUCCGUUCCCCUAAUAAGUCAUAUUUCCUCUUUCCGUUCCCCUAAUAGGUCAUAUUUCCGUUCCCCUAAUAGGUCAUAUUUCCUCUUUCCGUUCCCCUAAUAAGUCAUAUUUCCUCUUUCCGUUCCCCUAAUAGGUCAUAUUUCCUCUUUCCGUUCCCCUAAUAGGUCAUAUUUCCGUUCCCCUAAUAGGUCAUAUUUCCUCUUUCCGUUCCCCUAAUAAGUCAUAAAUUCCUCUUGUCGUUCCCCUAAUAAGUCAUAUUUCCUCUUUCCGUUCCCCUAAUAAGUCAUAUUUCCUCUUUCCGUUCCCCUAAUAGGUCAUAUUUCCGUUCCCCUAAUAGGUCAUAUUUCCUCUUUCCGUUCCCCUAAUAAGUCAUAUUUCCUCUUUCCGUUCCCCUAAUAGGUCAUAUUUCCUCUUUCCGUUCCCCUAAUAGGUCAUAUUUCCGUUCCCCUAAUAGGUCAUCUUUCCGUUCCCCUAAUAGGUCAUAUUUCCGUUCCCCUAAUUGGUCAUAUUUCCUCUUUCCGUUCCCCUAAUAAGUAAUAAAUUCCUCUUGUCGUUCCCCUAAUAAGUCAUAUUUCCUCUUGCCGUUCCCAUAAUAAGUCAUAUUUCCUCUUGCCGUUCCCCUAAGAAGUCAUAUUUCCUCUUUCCGUUCCCCUAAUAAGUCAUAUUUCCUCUUUCCGUUCCCCUAGUAAGUCAUAUUUCCUCUUUCCGUUCCCCUAAUAGGUCAUAUUGCCUCUUUCCGUUCCCCUAAUAAGUCAUAUUUCCUCUUUCCGUUCCCCUAAUAAGUCAUAUUUCCUCUUGCCGUUCCCCUAAUAAGUCAUAUUACCUCUUUCCAUUCCCCUAAUAGGUCAUAUUUCCUCAUUCCGUUCCCCUAAUAGGUCAUAUUUCCUCUUUCCGUUCCCCUAAUAGGUCAUAUUUCCUCUUUCCGUUCCCCUAAUAAGUCAUAAAUUCCUCUUGUCGUUCCCCUAAUAAGUCAUAUUUCCUCUUUCCGUUCCCCUAAUAAGUCAUAUUUCCUCUUUCCGUUCCCCUAAUAGGUCAUAUUUCCGUUCCCCUAAUAGGUCAUAUUUCCUCUUUCCGUUCCCCUAAUAAGUCAUAUUUCCUCUUUCCGUUCCCCUAAUAGGUCAUAUUUCCUCUUUCCGUUCCCCUAAUAGGUCAUAUUUCCGUUCCCCUAAUAGGUCAUAUUUCCUCUUUCCGUUCCCCUAAUAAUCAUAUUUCCUCUUUCCGUUCCCCUAAUAGGUCAUAUUUCCUCUUUCCGUUCCCCUAAUAGGUCAUAUUUCCGUUCCCCUAAUUGGUCAUAUUUCCUCUUUCCGUUCCCCUAAUAAGUAAUAAAUUCCUCUUGUCGUUCCCCUAAUAAGUCAUAUUUCCUCUUUCCGUUCCCCUAAUAGGUCAUAUUUCCUCUUGUCGUUCCCCUAAUAGGUCAUAUUUCCUCUUUCUGUUCCCCUAAUAGGUCAUAUUUCCUCUUUCCGUUCCCCUAAUAAGUCAUAUUUCCGUUCCCCUAAUAGGUCAUAUUUCCUCUUUCUGUUCCCCUAAUAGGUCAUAUUUCCGUUCCCCUAAUAGGUCAUAUUUCCGUUCCCCUAAUAGGUCAUAUUUCCUCUUUCCGUUCCCCUAAUAAGUCAUAUUUCCGUUCCCCUAAUAGGUCAUAUUUCCUCUUUCCGUUCCCCUAAUAGGUCAUAUUUCCGUUCCCCUAAUAGGUCAUAUUUCCGUUCCCCUAAUAGGUCAUAUUUCCUCUUUCCGUUCCCCUAAUAAGUCAUAUUUCCUCUUUCCGUUCCCCUAAUAAGUCAUAUUUCCUCUUUCCGUUCCCCUAAUAGGUCAUAUUUCCUCUUUCCGUUCCCCUAAUAGGUCAUAUUUCCUCUUUCCGUUCCCCUAAUAGGUCAUAUUUCCUCUUUCCGUUCCCCUAAUAAGUCAUAUUUCCUCUUUCCGUUCCCCUAAUAGGUCAUAUUUCCUCUUGCCGUUCCCCUAAUAGGUCAUAUUUCCGUUCCCCUAAUAGGUCAUAUUUCCGUUCCCCUAAUAGGUCAUAUUUCCUCUUUCCGUUCCCCUAAUAAGUCAUAAAUUCCUCUUGUCGUUCCCCUAAUAGGUCAUAUUUCCUCUUUCUGUUCCCCUAAUAGGUCAUAUUUCCUCUUUCAAUUCCCCUAAUAAGUCAUAUUUCCGUUCCCCUAAUAGGUCAUAUUUCCUCUUUCUGUUCCCCUAAUAGGUCAUAUUUCCGUUCCCCUAAUAGGUCAUAUUUCCGUUCCCCUAAUAGGUCAUAUUUCCUCUUUCCGUUCCCCUAAUAAGUCAUAUUUCCGUUCCCCUAAUAGGUCAUAUUUCCUCUUUCCGUUCCCCUAAUAGGUCAUAUUUCCGUUCCCCUAAUAGGUCAUAUUUCCGUUCCCCUAAUAGGUCAUAUUUCCGUUCCCCAAUUUGUUCUUCCACUGUGUAUUCAAACACAUCAAAGUAUCAUCAGAACCCAGACGAGAUCGUAUCAACUUUAUCGUCAAUUUUAGUACAAC